rnacentral:lncRNA from 1 species
AAAACUAGAAAAUUAAAAUUUUAGAAAUCGCAUGGCCACCCGUACUUGUUAGCGAUUUCUCGCUUUCGGGCGAGGAUGAUCGGCAACAUACUUGGCGGAACAUCGUCUUUUUCAUCGUCUCGAGUUGUGCCGAUAUGAGCUCGCGAGCCUCCGACUCUCUUUUUUUCCUCAAUUCGAUCGCCUCCAAUUCUACCGCUUGCUUCGCUUCUUUCAUGGCGGUGUACACUUUGAAUUGUGCCGCCAACUCGGCCGAGCUUCCCUCGGACGAUGUAGCUUGACGCUUGUCUCGCCGUUGUGCUCUUUGUGGCGAGGGAUCUUCGUUCAUAUCCGGUAUCGAAAGGUCCACGUCAACGGGCUUUCUUUUAUGUGCCGAACCUUCACCUUCCUCACCCAUCAAUGGGACUUGGGCCCAUUUCUCGUGUCUUCGAACGACCUCCCACGCCUCGAUGUGUUGAAAACCGCUUGGAAAUCUUUCUUUAAAUUCUUUUAACGCGACUUUCAUCACGUCGAGAUCCUUACAUCCGCUUCCUCGUGUGCGAUCCUACAU